rnacentral:rRNA from 1 species
CCUACGGGAGGCAGCAGUGAGGAAUAUUGGUCAAUGGACGAGAGUCUGAACCAGCCAAGUAGCGUGAAGGAUGACUGCCCUAUGGGUUGUAAACUUCUUUUAUAUGGGAAUAAAAUGUUCCACGUGUGGGAUUUUGUAUGUACCAUAUGAAUAAGGAUCGGCUAACUACGUGCCAGCAGCCGCGGUAAUACGGAGGAUCCGAGCGUUAUCCGGAUGUAUUGGGUUUAAAGGGAGCGUAGGUGGAUUGUUAAGUCCGUUGUGAAAGUUUGCGGCUCAACCGUAAAAUUGCAGUUGAAACUGGCAGUCUUGAGUACAGUAGAGGUGGGCGGAAUUCGUGGUGUAGCGGUGAAAUGCUUAGAUAUCACGAAGAACUCCGAUUGCGAAGGCAGCUCACUGGACUGCAACUGACACUGAGGCUCGAAAGUGUGGGUAUCAAACAGGAUUAGAUACCCCAGUAGUC